AGCCUCUGAAUCCUGUCCUUAUAAGUCAGUUCAUUAAUUUGUGCAAGGAUAGGCCAGAUGCCGAACUUGCUGCUCUCAAAAAGUGGCACACCAUCGGUGUUGAAGGUAAGAGACACAUCAUCAGGGCCCAUGGGAAUAUUUCUGUAUGCAACACCUGUUACGAUGUCAGUGACAUCGAAAGAAGAUGGCUGAGCUGGCAUAACCUUGGUUGUUUUCAAAAUAUCACAAAUCUGAGAUUCUAUGCUAAGUGAAAAAAAAUAUGAUGAACUCUUUACCAGUGCACUAAUGUCAUGGUUCACACUGCAGUGUUCACACAAAAUGGUAGUACACUCAGUAGCUCCCAUGUAGCUGUAACAAUUGCUACAAUAAAAAUGCCUUAUCUUCUCACUCUCAGGUGAGCUAAAAUGUUUAAAAAAACUGUGCUUCGAACAUGGCAGCACCGUUUCUUCCGGUAGAUGAGCAUGCAGUAAAUGCAGCAAGCUCUCUGUCGCUUCCUUCGACACAUCAUGCCGCAGGCUGUGGCCCAUAAUGAGCAAAAUGCUCUCAGCCUUUGUUAUCUUCGAACCUGGAUACAGCUCCUGGUUCUGUUUAAAGAGAAGAAACAAACAAGUUUAUACCACAUGCAUGCACACACGAAAUACACGUAAAUUCAGUAGUCCAUAAGAAACAAGCAUCUCCCAUCAGCUUUAUUGUAGACUAUUGCAAUACACCACCAUUUUCGUUACCAUUAAAGAAAUGUGUGCCUCGGUGUCAAGACACAUUAAUGCGUUAGAGCUUUGGCGAAUUAAAGACUACCUUUGUGAACACACCGAGAGAGUAAACUAUACCACAUGAAAGAGCAUAUUUUCACUAGGUGGCACUGUGAAUUUAAGGUGUUAACAGAAGUGUUCUUUGGACAGCUAUAUUGGUUGCAAUUUGCUUAAGCUUCCGCGUAGCUGAUUAUGCAUGCCUACAACAGUAGGCACGCACAGGGGCUUAUUUGGAAAAACUGAUUUUACAUUGUAGAGAAAUAAAAUUUUAAAAUUCUGCCAGAAUUAUUGCAAGAACUUAGCCACCGCUAAUGGUCUAAGUAUGGGAUGGCAUUGUGAGGAGUGAGGUAUUUUACCUUUUCGACUGGUUCGGAGCUAUGAGAGGUUUUGGGUUUAUUUGCGCUUUAAGCGUCUCUACCAGCGUACAGCACGCGCGGCGGCGUUCGCAUGCACAAUUGAAACGCCGCCGGGCAUCAUUUACAUUACAGUGUAAUAUUACAUAACACUCGUAUUACCAGUCGGUUAAGUGACUAUAGAUAGCUGCGAUGAUGACGAAACUUGCUAAUCCUCACCAUAUCGGCGUUUCCGUCGGACGGCUCAAAUGCGUGCUCUUCGUCUUCGCUCGUUUCCGCGUCCGAACUGUCGCUGCUUGAAUAUGUGCUCGGCGAGUCGUCAUCGAUGGGGACAGGUGACGCUCCUUUCACAGUCGCGUCGGAGUCGUCGUUCACGGGAGGUUGGCCACGGUCACAGCGCGUUUCCUCGCUUACUAAAUCAGGUGAUGUAGAACCGUCACCUUGCAGCGUGGGCAGUGAAGCGUCAAAUGGGGCUUCCUUUUUCGCACGGUGCCUGGAACGCACGGGCACCUCGUGCGUUGCGUCCAAGAGAUAUUGGUUAUAUUUUCUCUUCCGUUCCAUGGAAGGGAAGAAAACUUUAAGCGUCGAUGGAUAACACAGUCGUCUCCUGCGAAUCUCCUCCUCUGUGUAUCUCUUGCAAUGCAAUCCUGCUCAGCUUCAAAGACAACGCUUGGCAUUCGCACUGCAACUCAGCAGCCACAUGGCAAUAAUAACACAGAACACCCAGGCAAUAAUCACUACAGCCGUCCUCGGAGGGCAAUGGAUUGGCUACACUGGCAUAUGAAAGGCCAGUGCGUUAGUUUAUAUUUUUAUAUAGCCACUAUUUAUCCUGCUAAACUAAAGCUAAUAAAACUAUUAAUUCGGUAUAUAUUUUAAUACGAAUUACAAAUGAAAUAGCAAUAUUUAACACUAAACCUGCAGGUAUUGUAUGUUUUGUAUGUUGACUCGACACUACCGCCAUCUAUUUGAGUGACUGUCAGGGAGGCAUUGGUCAGGCCUUGCACAUCCUGUUUUUGUUGUGUGCGCCACGUGACCACGUUGUGUACGAGUUCGCCGUGCUUGCCGCGUGGUACACACAAGGUUCAGCCGAGUUCUUGUUAUUCUUCAAGUGGGUAAUAUUUGAACAAAAUGAGCCACAUACUGGUUAAAUGGGUGUCGUCCUCUUUGUGGGACGUGUACAACGUCCGAGCGAUAGCAGAUACAAACAUAGGUUUACGGCUUUUGAGCGACGGAAAUGCUAUAGAAAAAUUACGCGGCAGCGUGGUAGCUGUGAAUUGGAAGGAGGGCGAACCAACAGCAGAUGCAGAGUUGCUUGACUUCGGUAAGUAACACCGCUUUUCAUAAGUUUUCGCUGUAAAGUUGUUUCUAUUGCCUGACAACGGUUUUAUGUAGGAUUGGAAAAAACAAUGGAGCGCCGGCGAACAAAGCUUGUGCGGAUGGCGCAGUCGGCAACGGGCAGUGCCGAGGAUGUGGAGGAGGUGCCUGAAGUGCCUCUAGAGAAGACUUCACAACAGGAGGAGUAGCUGCUCCAAUAGCAGCUCUUGCCUGUACCAAUGGCUGUUCCAGAUUACUGGAGGGCAUUCUGACCAAUGCAUUCCUGCACAAGUGUGAAUGCAGGCUGGAGCUCAGUGUGCUUGCGCUGCCUCACAACGAGUCAAACAACUUGAGGAUGAGGCCAGGGAGCUACGAAAGCGGGCAGCAGAUGCCGAAAACAUCCUUGACUCUUAUGACAUGGUCAAGAAGUUAAGAAAAAUGAUGAGGAAGAUGGA